rnacentral:rRNA from 1 species
CGCGGUAUUUUGACUGUGCGAAGGUAGCAUAAUCAUUUGUCUUUUAAUUGAAGACUUGUAUGAAUGGCUGAACGAGAAAAUAACUGUCUCUUUAAAAAAUCUUGAAUUUUACUUUUAAGUGAAAAGGCUUAAAUAAUUUUAAAGGACGAUAAGACCCUAUAAAUCUUUAUAUUAUUUUUCUUUAAAUUUCAAAUUAUAUAUUAAAAGAAAUAAAAGAAAAAAAUAUUAUAUUGGGGAGAUAAAAAUAUAAUUUUUAACUGUUUUAAAUAUAAAACAAUAAUUUUUGAUUUAUUAAAAAUUGAUCCUUUUUAAAGAUUUUAAGAUUAAGUUACUUUAGGGAUAACAGCGUAAUUUUUUUUGAGAGUUCUUAUCGAAAAAAAAGUUUGCGACCUCGAUGUUGAAUUAAAAUAUCCUUAUAAGUGCAGAAGCUAUAAAGGAAAGUCUGUUCGACUUUUAAAAUUUUACAU